rnacentral:rRNA from 1 species
AGCUGUUGCUGACCCUCGAAAGGGGACAUGUGCACGCUCUGUCUACACAUCCACUCACACCUGUGCACCCUCUGUAGUUCCAUGGCCUGGGGACCCUGUCCCCUUGCUGCGGUCCUACGUAUUUACACACACACACAGUAACAAAGUCUCAUGGAAUGCAGUCGCGUUUAACGCAAUACAAUACAACUUUCAGCAACGGAUCUCUUGGCUCUCGCAUCGAUGAAGAACGCAGCGAAAUGCGAUAAGUAAUGUGAAUUGCAGAAUUCAGUGAAUCAUCGAAUCUUUGAACGCACCUUGCGCCCUUUGGCUAUUCUGAAGGGCAUGCCUGUUUGAGUAUCAUGAACACCUCAACUCUCGUGGCCCGCCACGAUGAGCUUGGACUUUGGGGGUCUUGCCGGCCUAGCGUCGGCUCCUCUCAAAUGGAUCAGCUUGCCAGUGUUUGGUGGCGUCACAGGUGUGAUAACUAUCUACGCUUGUGGUUUUCUACCAUGUAACCUUCAGUGAUGGAGGUUCGCUGGGGCUCACAGAUGUCUCUCCCUGGGGAGGACAGCUUUUUGAACGUUUGAUCUCAAAUCAKGUAGGACUACCCCGCUGAACUUAAGCAUAUCAAUAAGCGGAGGA